UACGAAGGGGGCUAGCGUUGUUCGGAAUUACUGGGCGUAAAGGGCGCGUAGGCGGCGUGUCAAGUCAGGCGUGAAAGCCCCGGGCUCAACCUGGGAACCGCGCUUGAGACUGGCAUGCUCGAGUUCGGGAGAGGAUGGUGGAAUUCCCAGUGUAGAGGUGAAAUUCGUAGAUAUUCGGAAGAACACCAGUGGCGAAGGCGGCUCACUGGUCCGGUACUGACGCUGAUGUGCGAAAGCGUGGGGAGCAAACAGG
rnacentral:rRNA from 1 species